rnacentral:tRNA from 1 species
GCUUCUCUAGCUCAAUGGCAGAGCAGUUGACUCUUAAUCAAUUGGUUCUGGGUUCGAAUCCCAGGGGAAGCA